rnacentral:rRNA from 1 species
AUGGCAAUUGUACAUACAUAUGGGAAGCCUGACAUCUUCUUGACCAUGACUUGCAACCCUAUAUGGGAAGAGAUAACAAAUGAGUUGCUUCCCGGACAGACGGCGCAAGACCGACCUGAUAUUGUGGCUCGCGUGUUCUAUGGCAAACUAGAGGCUAUGAAAGAUAUGUUGCUCAAGAAGAUGGUCCUGGGUGUUGUUGUUGCUUAUGUUUACGUAGUCGAGUUCCAGAAAAGAGGCCUC